UGGAGGAAAAAAAGAUGGAGAAUUUGUUAAAUUUGAAAAUCUCGUCGAUCGAUCGAUCGAUCGAUUAAUCGAUCGAGGGGGAAAAUUUUGAUCGGGAAGAUUCGCGUGGAUCCGCUCCUGUUGUAUGCCACUACCACCUCGGCACCAUCGUCAUCACCAUCUCCCUGGCUCCUCCGUAACGGAUAGGCUUCACCUCCAGAACGGAACUCCAGUCUGCUUCCAGUUUCUCCCUCGAGAAUGCUUGUUGGCUUAGUCGGAGUUUGGCUCUCGCAACGCGCGCUUCGUGCCGCGCCCCGCACACUUGCACACCCGUCCCGUCGAUCCAUGCUCUCUGACUGAAAAUCUUUUUUCCUUCCCUCUUCCGUCCGAGGAUCUCUGCGAGGAGAUUGCGCAACGACAUCGAAAUCGACGAAGGAUCGACAAAGGAAAAAGAAAAAGAGAGAUCGUGCUUCUUCUAAAUUUAUUACAGUGUCGUUAUUAAUAGAAUCGAAUAGAGAAAGGGAUAUAUAUAUAUAUUGGAGGAAGAUUGGAGAAAGAGAGAAGAAAGAAAUGUGCGGGAACCGAUAUCCGAUCCGAGAUAUCGAAGGCGGACAAUGAUCGACACUUAAAAGGUGUCCCAUUCCUCCUGUAGGAAAGGGAGGCGGGCGGAUGUAAGGAUGCGCUUACGCAGGAAACGGUGCAUGUCCCGGUGACGUUACAGAAACUUACUAGAAAGAGAGAGAGCGAGAGCGCUAGCUAGCGAGCGAGCGAGCGAGCGAGCGAGAGAGAGAAGAAAAGAGAGAGAGAGAAGAGAAGAAACGUACGAGCGUACGCGACGCGCAUAGGACAGAGAAGCACACGGAAGCGCACGGAUGACGCGAUGAGACUGAGCCCGAUCAUCCUGUCGUGGGCCACGGCGAGUUGGCUCGGUCCAACCGGAACUACGGCGGCGCGGGCGUCCAAGGAUUACGAGCUGUCCACGGAAUUCUUCCUCGUGCCCGGGCUGGACGUGGCCGUGGACAAGAACGGGCUUGCAAGCGUGGCUAGUGUCAUCAGCGUCCCGGCGCCGAACAGGACCGUUUCGGUGUACAAAAUCCCCCCCCCUGGGAGGAAGAGGAGCCAGGCGGAGAUCGAGGCCGAUACACGCGCUUACCCGAGGUCCUUGCUCAGGCAACGACCCUGGGCUCUUCCUCUUGCUGCCCUCAGCGCUGCCACGAUGCUCCUCAUGGCUGGCUUCGAGGUUUUCGUACUGCUCAAGGCAAGAGUGACCGCACCGAAUAGACGACAUUUAUUUUUGGGGCAAGCUCUACUUUUAGGCCUUUUCCUACUGGCAGGACUCUCGGCAGCGGCCUCCCUCAGCCAAAACCCUCUCUCCUGCGCCGCAUUUCGAUUAGUCGGCUUGCCUGCCGCUCUCGUAUUUGCGGCCUUGUUGGUUAAAUGCGUGUUCCUGCUCUCGUUAAAUAGCGGAGUUUAUCUACCGGCACCCUAUCAAGCAUUGGUAUUGGGAUUUGCGGUACUCGUGCAAGUGGCUAUAAUCGGGCAAUGGUUUUACGGCGAGCCACCCAUGGUUGUCCAAGUACAAAAUACGGGGCAAAACUUCACGAUGUCCUGUUGCAAAACCCCCCUUGGACAGAUAGUCGCCUCCCUCGGGGGAAAAGAGAUGGUUUUCGAUUUUUUUUUCUUUUUUUUUUCUCUUCCCUCCCCCCCUCUCCAGGUAUCCAGGCGCGCUGCUGGUCGCGGUUGCUUGUCUGGCGGUUCGAGCGAGGGGCGUCCGGGACAACAACCGGGAAGCGGCGUUUAUCGGCCUGGCCGUUGGUUUAUCGCUUCCGAUUUGGAUAUCGAGCGCGAUCGGCUCUGUGGCGGCCUCGACGGAGAGCGACAGGGAGGCUUGGCUCGCCUACGGCUUAUUGGCCACUUCCCUUCUCGUGUUCCUGACCAUGUUCCUGCCCAAGGGCCGACAGUUAGCUGCCCUCGGCCGGGAGGCCACCGCCACGGUGAUUCGCGAUCGGGACGACGCUAUGAGCUCGCUUCCAGGCAGCGGUUACUCGCCCUCCUUCUUCCACUUCAAACCGGCAGAAGCUUCUUUGAAGAGAAAGAUGCAUUAUCAUAGCGGCGAUCGCGUGGCAUUAGUUUCAUCCGCUAUACCUGGAUGUACUGCUUGCAGGCACGGUGGAAGUCCCAUAUACUCGGACGAUGUUCACAGUCCGAUGGAAACGUUCGUCUUACCACCACCAGGCAUGUACUUAAGACCAGAAGACGCGGGAAAUUUGUACACUACUCUGUCGGCAAAUCCCAAUGUAUUUUUUCAGCGAGCAGCUCAUCCCGGGAUGAUGUAUUGAUAAAUGCUUUCAAAUAAAAAUUCGUAAAUUUGA